rnacentral:rRNA from 1 species
GACAGAGGGUGCGAGCGUUAAUCGGAAUUACUGGGCGUAAAGCGUGCGUAGACGGUUAUUUAAGUCGGGUGUGAAAGCCCCGGGCUCAACCUGGGAAUUGCAUUCGAGACUGAAUAGCUAGGGUACGGUAGAGGGAAGUGGAAUUUCCGGUGUAGCGGUGAAAUGCGUAGAUAUCGGAAGGAACAUCAGUGGCGAAAGCGACUUCCUGGACCAGUACCGACGUUCAGGCACGAAAGCGUGGGGAGCAAACAGG